rnacentral:rRNA from 1 species
AAUGAACGCUGGCGGCGCGCCUAAUACAUGCAAGUCGAGCGAGAAGACGUAGCAAUACGUUUGUAAAGCGGCGAACGGGUGAGGAAUACAUGGGUAACCUACCCUAGAGUGGGGAAUAACUAGCCGAAAGGUUAGCUAAUACCGCGUACGCUCCUUGGACUUCGGUUCAGGGAGGAAAGCGAUGCCGAGGGUAUCGCGCUCUUGGAUGGGCUCAUGUCCUAUCAGCUUGNGGUGAGGUAACGGCUCACCAAGGCUUCGACGGGUAGCUGGUCUGGGAGGACGAUCAGCCACACUGGCACUGCGACACGGGCCAGACUCCUACGGGAGGCAGCAGUAAGGAAUAUUGCGCAAUGGGCGAAAGCCUGACGCAGCGACGCCGCGUGGGGGA